CAGUCGCCACGGGAAUACAGAGGGUGCGAGCGUUAAUCGGAUUUACUGGGCGUAAAGCGUGCGUAGGCGGCUUCUUAAGUUGGAUGUGAAAUCCCUGAGCUUAACUUAGGAAUUGCAUUCGAUACUGGGAAGCUAGAGUAUGGGAGAGGAUGGUAGAAUUCCAGGUGUAGCGGUGAAAUGCGUAGAGAUCUGGAGGAAUACCGAUGGCGAAGGCAGCCAUCUGGCCUAAUACUGACGCUGAGGUACGAAAGCAUGGGGAGCAAACAGGAUUAGAUACCCCGGUAGUCCCUGUCUCUUAUAC
rnacentral:rRNA from 1 species